rnacentral:tRNA from 1 species
ACUCUAAUAGUUUAACAUAAAACAUUGGUCUUGUAAGCCAAAACUGAAGACUACCACCCUUCUUAGAGUU